rnacentral:rRNA from 1 species
UAAUACAGAGGUGGCAAGCGUUGUUCGGAAUUACUGGGCGUAAAGGGCGCGUAGGCGGUUCGUUAAGUCCUGUGUGAAAUCCCCCGGCUCAACUGGGGAACUGCACAGGAAACUAGCGGGCUUGAGUUCGGGAGAGGGAAGCGGAAUUCCGGGUGUAGCGGUGAAAUGCGUAGAUAUCUGGAGGAACACCGGUGGCGAAGGCGGCAUCCUGGACCAACACUGACGCUGAGGAGCGAAAGCCAGGGGAGCAAACGGGAUUAGAUACCCCGGUAGUCCUGGCCCUAAACGAUGAAUGCUUGGUGUGACGGGUAUCGAUCCCUGUCGUGCCGAAGCUAACGCAUUAAGCAUUCCGCCUGGGGAGUACGGUCGCAAGGCUG